rnacentral:rRNA from 1 species
GGAGUCGAGGGGCAGCAUUAGUACUUGUACUAGAUGGCGACCGGCGCACGGGUGCGUAACGCGUAUGCAACCUACCCUUUACUACGGGAUAGCCCGGGGAAACCCGGAUUAAUACUGUAUGGUACCAUCAGAGGGCAUCUGAAGAUGGUUAAAGAUUUAUCGGUAAAGGAUGGGCAUGCGUGACAUUAGUUAGUUGGUGAGGUAAUGGCUCACCAAGGCGAUGAUGUCUAGGGGUUCUGAGAGGAUGAUCCCCCACACUGGCACUGAGAUACGGGCCAGACUCCUACGGGAGGCAGCAGUAGGGAAUAUUGGUCAAUGGGCGAGAGCCUGAACCAGCCAUGCCGCGUGCAGGAAGACGGCCUUCUGGGUUGUAAACUGCUUUUAUCAGGGAACAAAAAGGCCAUGCGUGGCAAAUUGCGUGUACCUGAGGAAUAAGGACCGGCUAACUCCGUGCCAGCAGCCGCGGUAAUACGGAGGGUCCAAGCGUUGUCCGGAUUUAUUGGGUUUAAAGGGUGCGCAGGCGGAAUGAUUAGUCAGUGGUGAAAUCCUACAGCUCAACUGUAGAACUGCCAUUGAUACUGUCAUUCUUGAGUACAGUUGAAGUAGGCGGAAUGUAUCAUGUAGCGGUGAAAUGCAUAGAUAUGAUACAGAACUCCUAUAGCGAAGGCAGCUUACUAAACUGUAACUGACGCUCAGGCACGAAAGCGUGGGGAGCGAACAGGAUUAGAUACCCUGGUA